CCUACCUAACUGGGUUAGGGCCCUGGCUCCAUCUCCUUUAGGAAAACCUUCUGUGGGGAGUGGGGCUUCGACCCUAACCCAGGUGGG
rnacentral:pre_miRNA from 1 species